GGCCUAGUAGCUCAUUUGGUUAGAGCGUUGGCUGUACUAAGACCUUCCCCUUGCUGGCGUAGGUAUGAAUCCCACCGAGGCCG
rfam:Schistocephalus solidus strain NST_G2 genome assembly, scaffold: SSLN_scaffold0004776